GCCAACGUCCAUACCAUGCUGAAUACACCGGUUCUCGUCCGAUCACCGAAGUUAAGCACCAUCGGGCGUGGUUAGUACCUGGAUGGGUGACCGCCUGGGAACACCGCGUGCUGUUGGCU
rnacentral:rRNA from 1 species